UCUGAUUCUCUGUUAUCUGUACAACUUUUUAUUUCUCAUAUUAUUCAUUUAACCAGUAGUUGACUUGAUGUUUGUUAUUGUUUCAAUAUAUAUAUAUAUAUAUAUAGUAUGUGAUGUGAUAGUCCUUUUUUGGUGCCUCUUUCUGGUUGUUCCUCCUCCUCCUCAUUAUGUUCCCAACUCCAGAAAUUUCACUUCUUAUCUUUGAAGUAAAUGAAUAAAUUUUAAGUAGGUUUCCUUGUUUCUCAUUGCUUAAAUUGACUCUUGACAAGGUUGCAAUCCUCUCCCCACUGACUGACCUCAAUAAAGCCAAGCUUCUAGAAACAAAUUGCAGCAGUUUAUUGGUUGCUGAUAUUGCAUUACCUAGAGUCUCAGUUUUUCUUUUUCUUUUUUUCUUUUUUUUUUUUUUUGGCUUAAAUCUUUGUUCUUAUUUUUAUCAACUUUUUUUUUAAGUUAAAAAAAAAAAAAAUACAUCAUCAUCACUCAUUCUUUUUUUUUUUUUUUUUUUUUGGGUUCAUCUUUAUCCAUUCCACUAUUCAUUUUAUUCUUAUUAUUUUUUUUCUCUUUUGUCUUUAAAAGUUUGUUUGUUUUUUUUUUUUUUUAUACUUACCCUGUGAAUAUAGAUACACCUGAAAAUUAUGGGUUUUGUUAUGGUUUUGCUCUCGAUUCAUUUAUGGUUUUCUGGAACCCAUCUCAAAGGUCUUCAAUUUAAAAUUUCCGGUUUCUAAAUAUUUUGUAUUUUAAACUGCUGUUCUUGAAAGUGCCAAUUUGGUCUCACUGCCAUUGUAGAUGGCUCACAUUUCCUGGAAUAAGAGUAGUUAAACUUGAUGCACUUAGUAUUCAAUACCCAUUUAAUUCAUCGGGCAUUCCAAGAGUCAAUUUCUUAUAAUGCCAUUGGUAUGUUACAAACUCUUUUCUCCUCACCGCUUAAAUUAACUUGUCAUAAAAUUUCAUUUCCAUGUAUUACUCAAUUGCAGUUACAAUUGUUGAAUGCCAUGUUUCAUUAUGAUUGUAUUAGCGGCAAGCUUUAUGGUUUUCCACCUCUCCUUGACGACCAUUAAUUUCAGUCUCGAGUCAGAAUCCCCUGCAUAACCAAUUUGACUUCCCAUAUUUAAGUUCCCAUAUGAUAGACUUUCUUGAUUCAUUCAGAAAUUUACAGUAUGUUUAAAGCAUUGAGAGCAUUGCAUUGCCAAAUUGUAAUUUCUCUGCAGUUAUUUGGUUACAAUUCUCAAUCUGUUCUAAGACUCUUGACUGAUCUGAAUAAAGCCAAGCUUCACAAGUCGCAGUAGUUCUUAGUUGCUGAUAUUGCAGUAAUAGAUAAUCUCUAAUCUCAUUGAAUAGCUAGUGGAAUUUAAAAUAUGUAUUUUCAAAAAACAGCAAAUAUUCUUUUACUUUCCUUACUAAUUUUGAUGUCGUUGCUUUCCAUGUAUCAGAAGAUAGUUUAAUUGCUUUACAUUUCAAGAAAGUAUUUCAGCAACUUAUAAACUGCAAAAGUUUUUCUCUGAA